CACCGCUACACAGGAAAUUCCACCACCCUCUACCGUACUCUAGCUCAGUAGUUUUGGAUGCAGUUCCCAGGUUGAGCCCGGGGAUUUCACAUCCAACUUGCUGAACCACCUACGCGCGCUUUACGCCCAGUAAUUCCGAUUAACGCUUGCACCCUUCGUAUUACCGCGGCUGCUGGCACGAAGUUAGCCGGUGCUUAUUCUGUUGGUAACGUCAAAACAGCAAGGUAUUAACUUACUGCCCUUCCUCCCAACUUAAAGUGCUUUACAAUCCGAAGACCUUCUUCACACACGCGGCAUGGCUGGAUCAGGCUUUCGCCCAUUGUCCAAUAUUCCCCACUGCUGCCUCCCGUAGGAGUCUGGACCGUGUCUCAGUUCCAGUGUGACUGAUCAUCCUCUCAGACCAGUUACGGAUCGUCGCCUUGGUAGGCCUUUACCCCACCAACUAGCUAAUCCGACCUAGGCUCAUCUGAUAGCGUGAGGUCCGAAGAUCCCCCACUUUCUCCCUCAGGACGUAUGCGGUAUUAGCGCCCGUUUCCGGACGUUAUCCCCCACUACCAGGCAGAUUCCUAGGCAUUACUCACCCGUCCGCCGCUGAAUCCAGGAGCAAGCUCCCUUCAUCCGCUCGACUUGCAUGUGUUAGGCCUGCCGCCAGCGUUCAAUCUGAGCCAGGAUCAAACCCUC
rnacentral:rRNA from 1 species